CAUUAAGUGGCUGAAAUGUUAUAAGCAUUGGUCUCUUAAACCAAUCCAUAGUAAUUAACAAUUACUCUUAAUG
rnacentral:tRNA from 1 species